CUUUCGGUGAUACUUUUACACAUUAGAACAACUGAAUAAAAUCUCCUUUCAAUUAACUAUCGAUAUAUCUGGUAUUUUACGUAAGACUGAGUCCCAAUAUUAUUGCAAUUCGGUAGCAAAGAUGUUGACACCACAUGUCGUCUGAUGAUGAGUUUUACAGGAUCGAAUAAGGUUUGGUCAUUGUAUUCCCUGAAAGGAA
rnacentral:lncRNA from 1 species